rnacentral:lncRNA from 1 species
GAAAAAUUAAUUUAAGAAUUAACUCUCACAUCAUUCAUUAGAAUGAAAGCAUAUAUAAUGGCAACAGAAGGAAAAGGUCAUUCAAAUGUACAAGCUCAAAGGUUACAAAAUUUCCUUUUAGAAUAAGCUUCAUAUGAGAAGCUUUACUUCACAAGACAUUGGUUUCGAAUCCAAACCAUAUUUAGGUUUUCCCUAUUUGACUUGUGUGUUAUAGAAGUUUGAGCUAAAGAACAAAAGUGACGGACAAUCAAAAUGAGCAUGAGGUACAAAGUGGCUUUAUUCCUAUAAACUAGUGUUACCUGCUAGCUUUGUCGAAUGCUUUGUCCAUGGUUUGUGAAGUGACAUUGUUAUAGUACAAUAAAUCGACCAAACGAUUUUGCAUUGGCAAUAAGGAAAGGAUAAUUUGCAUUCCAAGGAUUAAAAACAACUACAAUAUUGCUAUAAACCUCAGGAUGCAGAUUAUCUAAUCCUUACCCAAUAAUUAUACCGACUCCAUCAAGAAGACUUAUUGCUCUAAAGGAAAAUGGAAACCGUCAUGUUGAUAUGUGUUGUGUAGUCUUGGGAGCGGCGGGAGCGGUAAUAGGCUAUACAUCGAGGAUCUCUAAGAGACUUUGACACCAUAUCUUCACCCAAUUCCUUAAGAUAUUAAGUAUAUGUGUCGCAUCACUUUAUAUCAAACAUUUUCUUCAUUUCAAAUUGAUGUGAGACUUAAUCACUCACAUUUGAAACCCAACAAUUUCAUAGUUCUACGCCUAUUGGGGUUAAGGAAGAGAUAAUCUGCACUCCAAGGCUUAGAUACAAUUACGCAGCUGUUAUUCUAAACCUCAGGAUGCAGAUUACCCCAUCCAAACCCAAUAUAUCCUCAUUCAAGAAGUUUAAUUAGUAUUGGUAUACUAAGGAAAAUGUAAUUUGAAUCCGAAGGACUAGAUACAAUGCAAGCAUUGUUCUAAUCCUCACACAAUUUACAAGGUAGAGUCUAAGGGAAGAGAGAGCAAAUGGGAGUACAAGAGAGAGCAUGAGAAAAUACUAUAUG